UAAAGUUUUCUGAGGAAGAGUUCAGGAGC
rnacentral:piRNA from 1 species